rnacentral:rRNA from 1 species
UACGAAGGGGGCUAGCGUUGCUCGGAAUCACUGGGCGUAAAGCGCACGUAGGCGGCUUACUAAGUCAGGGGUGAAAUCCUGGAGCUCAACUCCAGAACUGCCUUUGAUACUGGUGAGCUUGAGUCCGGAAGAGGUGAGUGGAACUGCGAGUGUAGAGGUGAAAUUCGUAGAUAUUCGCAAGAAUACCAGUGGCGAAGGCGGCUCACUGGUCCGGUACUGACGCUGAGGUGCGAAAGCGUGGGGAGCAAACAGG